rnacentral:rRNA from 1 species
AAAGGAAUAGACGGGGGCCCGCACAAGCGGAGGAACAUGUGGUUUAAUUCGAUGAUACGCGAGGAACCUUACCUGGGCUUAAAUUGCAGAUGACAGGAGCCGAAACGCUUCUUUCUUCGGACAUCUGUGAAGGUGCUGCAUGGUUGUCGUCAGCUCGUGCCGUGAGGUGUCGGCUUAAGUGCCAUAACGAGCGCAACCCUUAUCUUUAGUUGCUAACAGGUGAUGCUGAGGACUCUAGAGAGACUGCCGUCGUAAGAUGUGAGGAAGGGAGGGAUGACGUCAAAUCAGCACGGCCCUUACGUCCAGGGCUACACACGUGUUACAAUGGGAGGCACAGAGGGCAGCUACCUAGCGAUAGGAUGCUAAUCUCAUAAAUCCUCUCUCAGUUCGGAUCGAAGUCUGCAAUUCGACUUCGUGAAGCUGGAUUCGCUAGUAAUCGCGCAUCAGCUACGGCGCGGUGAAUACGUUCCCGGGCCUUGUACACACCGCCCGU